UACGUAGGGUCCGAGCGUUGUCCGGAAUUAUUGGGCGUAAAGGGCUCGUAGGCGGUUUGUCGCGUCGGGCGUGAAAACACGGGGCUUAACCCCGUGCCUGCUUCCGAUACGGGCAGACUAGAGGUAUGCAGGGGAGAACGGAAUUCCUGGUGUAGCGGUGAAAUGCGCAGAUAUCAGGAGGAACACCGGUGGCGAAGGCGGUUCUCUGGGACGGUACUGACGCUGAGACGCGAAAGCGUGGGGAGCGAACAGG
rnacentral:rRNA from 1 species